rnacentral:rRNA from 1 species
GACGAACGCUGGCGGCGUGCCUAACACAUGCAAGUCGAGCGAAUGAAGUUCCUUCGGGAAUGGAUUUAGCGGCGGACGGGUGAGUAACACGUGGGCAACCUGCCUCAUAGAGGGGAAUAGCCUUCCGAAAGGGAGAUUAAUACCGCAUAAGAUUGUAGUACCGCAUGAUACAGCAAUUAAAGGAGCAAUCCGCUAUGAGAUGGGCCCGCGGCGCAUUAGCUAGUUGGUGAGGUAACGGCUCACCAAGGCGACGAUGCGUAGCCGACCUGAGAGGGUGAUCGGCCACAUUGGGACUGAGACACGGCCCAGACUCCUACGGGAGGCAGCAGUGGGGAAUAUUGCACAAUGGGGGAAACCCUGAUGCAGCAACGCCGCGUGAGUGAUGACGGCCUUCGGGUUGUAAAACUCUGUCUUCAGGGACGAUAAUGACGGUACCUGAGGAGGAAGCCACGGCUAACUACGUGCCAGCAGCCGCAGUAAUAC